GCCUCCGUAGCUCAGCUAGGUAGAGCAUCGCCAUUAACGGUGUGCCAAAAGCACCCGGCUAAGGACCGGGCGGUCGCAUGUUCGAUAUUAUGCUAAAAAUCUGAGCAUAACGAGUCCCAUGCCGGGGGCG
rnacentral:tRNA from 1 species